rnacentral:rRNA from 1 species
GACGAACGCUGGCGGCGUGCUUAACACAUGCAAGUCGAACGGAAAGGCCCUGCUUUUGUGGGGUGCUCGAGUGGCGAACGGGUGAGUAACACGUGAGUAACCUGCCCUUGACUUUGGGAUAACUUCAGGAAACUGGGGCUAAUACCGGAUAGGAGCUCCUUCUGCAUGGUGGGGGUUGGAAAGAUUCGGCGGUUGGGGAUGGACUCGCGGCCUAUCAGCUUGUUGGUGGGGUAGUGGCUUACCAAGGCUUGGACGGGUAGCCGGCCUGAGAGGGUGACCGGCCACAUUGGGACUGAGAUACGGCCCAGACUCCUACGGGGGGAAGCAGUGGGGAAUAUUGCACGAUGGGCGGAAGGCUGAUGCAGCAACGCCGCGUGCGGGAUGACGGCCUUCGGGUUGUAAACCGCUUUCGCCUGUGACGAAGCGUGAGUGACGGUAAUGGGUAAAGAAGCACCGGCUAACUACGUG